ACUUGUCAUCCCACAAAACGAAUUAACAGUAUAAAAAAUAAGACGUGUGAGAUUUGUUCCACACACGCGCGCAAGUUCACGGAGGACAUAAAGAGGAAGUGCACAGCACAUUGUCAUGUGAAAACGAAACAAGGUUAAGAGAUGUAGGCGUCUUAUACGAUUUUAGCAACAGACCAAGCUCUAAACAGACACAUCACAGCUAAUGACAGAGGAGUCUCUCUUUCAUGACCAUCGAUAGCAUCACUAUACCAUCACCGGUUUAAUGUUAUCUGCAGACUGCUCCUCUUGCCCCACAUUUGCAGUGAAGGCUUUUAUGCAGGCUGACAACGUGGUGAAAAACAGCCUCCUCCUCCAGGCUAGCUGAACAUCUGUCUCUGUAGCACUAUGGCUGAUGCCCACAGAUGGGAGACCCAGUAGGAGCCCAGAGAUAGAGGGAUUGGCGUGGUGCAGGGGUGUGCAUUAGUGUCACUUCCCCAGCCCUCCCCCUCCACCCCUGCCUCGGGUUCACACUUGGACGCUUCACUCGCCGAGCACCUCACCGAGUUCUCCGCUGGUAUCUCCAUUCUGAGACAUAAAUGUUUGAUGAAGACACAGCGAUGAUUUAUGAGGCUUCUAGAUUUAGUAAUCUGCCUUUGUUUAAGAACCUAUGAGCAGAAAGAUCUUAAAUUGUGUCAAGUCACAUGCCCUAUGUGAAACCUAAUCAGCCAUAUCGGUGGUUCCGCUGGUAAAGGGCAAAAUGCAUGGCAUCGUGUUUCUGUCAUCAUUACCCUCCACAGAUGAGUACCCUACCUGUCAACAACAUUACAUUCUAAUCUAAACAGACCAAGGCGAAUUAUGUGGACAGAGUGAUAGAACGUUAACGUUGUUUAAGGCCUGGCUUAUGGCAGGGGGUUUAAAGCUUGUGGGUCACAGUGGGAUUAGGUGCGUGGCACAGUCACUUGGCUGUUAUGGUGAAUGACACAAAAAUAGUGUAGUCCAAUUAAUGACAAGCAAUGACAAACUACUCUCUACUUAAGGAAAACAAAUAUGUAUUUUUACCAUAAGGUUGGUGUGUGAGGUAAAUUAUACCUCUCUAGGUGGGUCUUAAAUUUAGCAUUGUUCGUUAUUCAAAGACAGUCAACUCUGUUGUGGGUUAAAGCGAUAUUUCAUUUAAAAAUUGUUCUGCUGAACACAAAGGAAGAUAUUGCAUUAAUACAGCAAUGUUUGUAACCAAACAGUUUUUGAGCACCAUUGACUUCCAUAGCAUUCAUUUUAUCUACUAUGGAAGUCAAUGGUGCUCCUA